CGCCAGCCCGCUCAGAAACUUAAAGGAAUGACGGGGGCCCGCACAAGCGGCGGAGCAUGUGGAUUAAUUCGAUGCAACGCGAAGAACCUUACCUGGGUUUGACAUAUACCGGAAAGCUGCAGAGAUGUGGCCCCCCUUGUGGUCGGUAUACAGGUGGUGCAUGGCUGUCGUCAGCUCGUGUCGUGAGAUGUUGGGUUAAGUCCCGCAACGAGCGCAACCCUAUCUUAUGUUGCCAGCACGUUAUGGUGGGGACUCGUAAGAGACUGCCGGGGUCAACUCGGAGGAAGGUGGGGACGACGUCAAGUCAUCAUGCCCCUUAUGUCCAGGGCUUCACACAUGCUACAAUGGCCAGUACAGAGGGCUGCGAGACCGUGAGGUGGAGCGAAUCCCUUAAAGCUGGUCUCAGUUCGGAUCGGGGUCUGCAACUCGACCCCGUGAAGUCGGAGUCGCUAGUAAUCGCAGAUCAGCAACGCUGCGGUGAAUACGUUCCCGGGCCUU
rnacentral:rRNA from 1 species